CCUACGGGAGGCAGCAGUAGGGAAUUUUCGUCAAUGGGCGCAAGCCUGAACGAGCGAUGCCGCGUGAGUGAAGAAGGCCUUCGGGUCGGAAAGCUCUGUUGCGGGGGAAAAAAGGCAGCAUCAGGAAAUGGGUGCUGACUGAUGGUGCGCCGCCAGAAAGUCACGGCUAACUACGGGACAGCAGCCGCGGCAAUACGUAGGUGGCGAGCGUUAUCCGGAAUGAUUGGGCGGAAAGGGUGCGCAGACGGUCCUGCAAGUCUGGAGUGAAACGCAUGGGCUCAACCAAUGCAUGGCAUUGGAAACUGGAGGACUGGAGAGCAGGAGAGGGCGGUGGAACUCGAGGUGUAGCGGUAAAAUGCGUAGAUAUAAGGAAGAACACCAGUGGCGAAGGCGGCCGCCUGGCCUGUUGCUGACGCUGAGGCACGAAAGCGUGGGGAGCAAAUAGGAUUAGAUACCCUAGUAGUC
rnacentral:rRNA from 1 species